rnacentral:misc_RNA from 1 species
UUUCCGUAGGUGAACCUGCGGAAGGAUCAUUGCACACACGAUGCAGCAAACUAGCGAACUGUGUUUGUCCCCCACCUACCCCAAACACGAGGGGCCGCAUCUGGAGGUGCGGCUGUCGACGGCAAGGUCCCGACCUUCGGGUCCCCGCAGUGGUUCCCGCAAGCGGGCUGAUCAUGUCGCCGUCUGGGUGUCCCGCGCGGGCUCUCGCCUUGCCUUAGGGUUGGGCGGCGCGGGCAUUCUCCUCCCUUCGAUGGCGUCGUCCCCUCCUCCGGGAGAGCGACCCGCCUCGAGGGCCUUUUACAACUUUGCCCCAUGUACAACACCAGUGACUGGGUAUACCUGUGUCCCGGUUCCGCUGCUGCCCUCGGGGGGUGGGGGAUUGGUCAAUGGGAACAAGAGUAAAUAAAAACAACUCCCAGCAACGGAUAUCUUGGCUCUU